CAUGGUCCUGAGCUGCUACCUCCUGCUGCUCUUUCUCGUGGCCCUGCCAGCCCAGAAUGCCCAGAGUGCUCCAGCAGCUGGGCAGGGAGCAGUUGUGGACACAGAGAGUGCUCUUUCAGCCCCUGAGCGAGGGGCAGAUACCGUGCUGACUCCGAGCUGGUACCUCAAGCGUGAGUAGUCAGUCUGUCCUGCCUUCACAAAAAAGGAGCGCCCCUUUUCCCUGUUUUAUUCACGAGAAAAAUACCGUCAUAGGUUAACGUGCUUUUGUAAAUCUAACAAUAGGGAUGAAGGAUGACAAGGUUCCUGAAGAGUUCCCUGAAGGAUUGCCGGAUGUUCCAGAGGAGCUCCUGGCAGCCUUGCAUGAAGCCCCAUCUGAGACAGAUUCUGAGACUGUGCCGGAGACCUUAGCUGUGGAAGAAAGUGACAGUGUGCCAGGCUCACAUGAAAAAAGAGAACCAACAGAGGACACCAGGACACUUGCUGAGCCUGAGGAAUA